CAUGCAUCCUUUCACCCUAACAUAGGCUUGGUUUCCCUUUUAAGAAUAACUGAAAACAAAUUAUAUAUGCAAUUUUUAAUUCUUGAGGUCACACAUUCACAUGCUUCAAAAUUACUAAAAGCAACAAAGUGAAACAGCUUUCUUCUUUCCUUACCUCCACAGAUAAGCACUAAUACUUGUAAAAGCAGGAACAUGAAUAGGUAGCAAUGCUUAACUGUGUAUGCACCAUAGGGACUAAAAGAGCCUUUUUCAUCAAUGUUGACAGGACUAUUUUUAUCUCCUUUCCUAUGACAUUACUGUUCUUUUUGUUCAAUGGGACCUAAUAAAAAAUCUUUACUUCAAGUCUGAUUCAUCUGGUAAACUUCACCACUGUCUUUUUGUUUGUUUGUUUGUUUACGGGAUGAUUUAUUACAGAGAUUCAUCUGAGCUAUCUUGGAAGAUGACAACUGGCAUUUCAAGACAAUCAUUUGUUAGAAACAAACAAACAAAAAUUAAUUUUUUGAAAACAGAGGCUGGUUUAGUUAACAAACUCUAAGCUCUCUAAUUUCACUCAGCUAGGAUCUUCCCUU
rnacentral:lncRNA from 1 species